CGGCUAACUCCGUGCCAGCAGCCGCGGUAAUACGGAGGGUGCGAGCGUUAAUCGGAAUUACUGGGCGUAAAGGGUGCGUAGGUGGUUGAUUAAGUUAUCUGUGAAAUUCCUGGGCUUAACCUGGGACGGUCAGAUAAUACUGGUUGACUCGAGUAUGGGAGAGGGUAGUGGAAUUUCCGGUGUAGCGGUGAAAUGCGUAGAGAUCGGAAGGAACACCAGUGGCGAAGGCGGCUACCUGGCCUAAUACUGACACUGAGGCACGAAAGCGUGGGGAGCAAACAGGAUUAGAUACCCUGGUAGUCCACGCUGUAAACGAUGUCAACU
rnacentral:rRNA from 1 species